rnacentral:miRNA from 1 species
UCACCUGCAGAUCUUAUAAAAUGCAGAUUCUGGGGUGGGGCCUGAGAUUCUGCAUUUCUCACAUGUUCCCAGGUGAUGC